UUGUCCAUGAUUAUUGUAACCAUGGCAACAAAAAUCAUCUAAUGUUGAGGAAGUACUUCUUUUAUAUCUCGAUCUUUUCCCAAACCUACCCGAGCUGCGACUGUUUUUACAGUAAUCAUUGCAACGAGGGUACGGUCCGUGUGUUUAUUGUUGUAACCAUGACAACCGAGCUCCAGCACGCCCGCCUCCGUAGGGGGGCGCUAUUUCAGGAGACGCCGUAUCAGAGGGUAGAAGAAAACGACCUGUGGCUGUAUUUUUGUGCUGAGCUCGUCCUCAGCAGCUCAUCACUCAGCUCCUGCUGCUUCUCCAAACUGGGAGCUGAUCUGAAUCUCCUGCAGCCGCUGCAGCAGAGAUCCUUUUCUUCCUGCUCCGACUCCGACGGGACUUUUUC